GACAGAGGUGCCGAGCGUUAGGCGGAAUCACUGGGCUUAAAGCGUGUGUAGGCGGGUCGUUAAGUGCUUUGUGAAAUCCCACAGCUCAACUGUGGAACUGCUUGGCAUACUGGCGAUCUUGAGCCAGCUAGAGGCAACCGGAACAAACGGUGGAGCGGUGAAAUGCGUAGAUAUCGUUUGGAACGCCAAUGGUGAAAACAGGUUGCUGGGGCUGCGCUGACGCUGAGACACGAAAGCCAGGGGAGCGAACGGG
rnacentral:rRNA from 1 species